CUUUGCAUAAAAUGCAAAAAGUCGGAAAGUCAACUUUUAACUAAAUGCAAAAGUUGACUUUUCGUUUCAACUAUAGAACCCUAUUUUAGACUUUUUUCGACAAAAAGUUGAUUUAUAUUCGUUCGUUAAAGUCAUAUUUACCUCUAGGGCCUCGCAUAAAAUAUCAGGUAUAUCAAAUGGGUAAUCAUAAAUCGUUAAAACAAAAAAUAUAUUUUGAGGUCCCCAUAAUUUAUACUAUCCAAUAAAUUAAAAAUGUUAAUGUUUAUUUCUAAUUGUAUUAAAUUUAUUGCAUCAGCUGUUUACAUUUUUGCAUUUCUUGCUCAAAUUUAAAUCACCUUCAUUAAACUACCAAACAAACUAAUUGAGUACUCAAAAACAACAUUGGAAGAUUAAUUUUAAUUUAAUCCCAAAUCUUUCACCUUAAGAUUGACCUUAAAUGUAAUAGAUUUUAUAUGCGAAGGCUUGGCUAGCUUUUUUGGAAUAACAACACCAAUGUCACAAAGUAUAAAGUCUAAAAUCAGAUUUUGUUUGAUUUGGAAAUUGUCUGGUUAGAUAUGUAUGUGUGUUGAGAACAUAUAAACGGGGUUUACUGUACAUGCAACGUCAAAAAAGUUGUUUGUGGUUAGAUAGUGUGCCUCUAAAGUUUUUUAAGAUUAUUUUUCCUUUUAUUAAAACACGUUUUUUGUAUCUUGUGAAUAACAUUUUAACUUAUACUGUAUUUCCUAUGAAUUGGAAGGUCGCUAAGGUGGUUCCUAUUAGAAAAAAUGGAAAUGAAUGUAGUUUUAGACCGAUAUCUAUAGUUCUCAUAUUAUCUAAGAUUGUAGAACAUGUUAUGAUCGUACGCAGUAAAUUGUUAUUUUCCUAUCUUUCUAAUGGAUAUCAGUUUGUUCAGUGAGGUCGAUGUUGUUCUGUAUGUUCUUUGGUCACAAGUGGUGUUCUGCAAGGUUCUGUUAUUGGUCCCUUAUAAUUUUUUAUUGUAUAUGAAUGAUCUUAUAUUAACUGUUGAGGGAUUUUCUUGUCAAUUGUUUAUUUUUGCAGAUGAUAUUCAGUUACUAUUUGCAGGAGAAUGUCAGUUUGUUGGUGCCUUGGAGUGUUUAGUUAAUAUGGUGUUGUCUUCUGUUUCUAGUUGCAUGUCAAGUUGUGGACUAUGUAUUAAUCGUGAGAAGACCAAGGCUAUGAUUUUUAAGUCACCUAGAACUGAUGUUAAUCUGUCUAUUAUGAUUGACAAUGUUAGUAUUGAGUUUGUAAAGUAUGUUAAAUGUCUUGGAGUUUAUAUCGAUUGUCACCUUAGUUUUAAACAUUAUACUGAUUGGCUAUGUACCAUAAUAAAUUAUACACUAUAAUGCGUA